UACGAAGGGUGCAACCGUUGCUCGGAAUUAUUGGGCGUAAAGCGCACGUAGGCGGCAUUGCAAGUCGGAUGUGAAAUCCCUCGGCUCAACCAAGGAAGUGCAUCCGAAACUGCUGUGCUUGAGUACUUAAGAGGAUCGCGGAAUUCCCGGUGUAGAGGUGAAAUUCGUAGAUAUCGGGAGGAACACCAGUGGCGAAGGCGGCGAUCUGGGAAGAUACUGACGCUGAGGUGCGAAAGCGUGGGGAGCGAACAGG
rnacentral:rRNA from 1 species